rnacentral:rRNA from 1 species
GGACUGUAGUCUGCAACCCGACUACACGAAGCUGGAAUCGCUAGUAAUCGCGGAUCAGAAUGCCGCGGUGAAUACGUUCCCGGGUCUUGUACACACCGCCCGUCACACCAUGGGAGUCGGAAAUGCCCGAAGUCUGUGACCCAACCGCGAGGAGGGAGCAGCCGAAGGCAGGUCGGAUGACUGGGGUGAAGUCGUAACAAGGUACC